rnacentral:rRNA from 1 species
UCCCUAGAGGGGCCCGCGUCCGAUUAGCUUGUUGGUGAGGUAAUGGCUCACCAAGGCGACGAUCCGUAGCUGGUCUGAGAGGAUGACCAGCCACACUGGAACUGAGACACGGUCCAGACUCCUACGGGAGGCAGCAGUGGGGAAUAUUGGACAAUGGGGGCAACCCUGAUCCAGCAAUGCCGCGUGUGUGAAGAAGGCCUGCGGGUUGUAAAGCACUUUCGGAUGGGAAGAAAAGCUCAAGGCUAAUAUCCUUGAGUCUUGACGUUACUAUCAGAAGAAGCACCGGCUAACUCUGUG